rnacentral:rRNA from 1 species
UACGUAGGGGGCAAGCGUUGUCCGGAUUUAUUGGGCGUAAAGGGCUCGUAGGCGGUUUGUCGCGUCGGGAGUGAAAACUCAGGGCUUAACCCUGAGCCUGCUUCCGAUACGGGCAGACUAGAGGUAUGCAGGGGAGAACGGAAUUCCUGGUGUAGCGGUGAAAUACUUAGAUAUCGUCAAGAACACCUAUAGCGAAGGCAGCUUACUAGGCUGUAACUGACGCUGAGGCACGAAAGUGUGGGGAUCAAACAGG